GUCCGUAUUGCCCCUUAUACGCUAUUGUGGCGUAUCUGAUGAGGUUGUAAUAAAACCGAAAGGGGUGAGGAAAU
rnacentral:hammerhead_ribozyme from 1 species